UCUGUUUCCAGAAAGUUACAUCCAUAGAAAAUAAACCCUUUAAAAUUUUGAGAAGGGUACUGAUUACUGAACGUGCACUCUUUCUUAUUUUUCUUAAAAUAGAUUUAUUAUUUUUAUUAUUUAUUUCCUUUCCUUUCUUUUUCUUUUCAUUUUUAUUUUGCUAUUUCUUCUUUCCGGUUGUUACUCUUGUGUAAAUAAGAGGAGUCUAG
rnacentral:lncRNA from 1 species